CACGGCGCACGGGUGCGUAACACGUGGGCAAUCUGCCCUUUGAUGGGGAAUAACCCGCCGAAAGGCGGGCUAAUUCCGCAUAAGAUUCCCGGAACUUCGGUUCUGGGAUUGAAAGCAGCAAUGCGUCGAAGGAGGAGCCCGCGCCCGAUUAGCUAGUUGGUGAGAUAACGGCUCACCAAGGCUGUGAUCGGUAGCUGUCUGAGAGGAUGAUCAGCCACACUGGAACUGAGACACGGUCCAGACUCCUACGGGAGGCAGCAGUGGGGAAUCUUGCACAAUGGGCGAAAGCCUGAUGCAGCGACGCCGCGUGGGGGAUGAAGCAUUUCGGUGUGUAAACCCCUUUCGACUGGGAAGAAUACCUCGCAAGAGGGGUGACGGUACCAGUAGAAGAAGCCCCGGCUAACUACGUGCCAGCAGCCGCGGUAAGACGUAGGGGGCCAGCGUUGUUCGGAAUUACUGGGUGUAAAGGGUUCGUACGCGGUGCGGCAAGUUGGGAGUGAAACCUCUGGGCUUAACCCAGAGGCUGCUUCCAA
rnacentral:rRNA from 1 species